GCUCAGAUUGAACGCUGGCGGCAGGCCUAACACAUGCAAGUCGAACGGUAACAUUUCUAGCUUGCUAGAAGAUGACGAGUGGCGGACGGGUGAUUAAUGCUUGGGAACUUGCCUUUGCGAGGGGGAUAACAGUUGGAAACGACUGCUAAUACCGCAUAAUGUCUUCGGACCAAACGGGGCUUCGGCUCCGGCGCAAAGAGGGGCCCAAGUGAGAUUAGCUAGUUGGUAAGGUAACGGCUUACCAAGGCGACGAUCUCUAGCUGUUCUGAGAGGAAGAUCAGCCACACUGGGACUGAGACACGGCCCAGACUCCUACGGGAGGCAGCAGUGGGGAAUAUUGCACAAUGGGGGAAACCCUGAUGCAGCCAUGCCGCGUGUGUGAAGAAGGCCUUCGGGUUGUAAAGCACUUUCAGUUGUGAGGAAAAGUUAGUAGUUAAUACCUGCUAGCCG
rnacentral:rRNA from 1 species